GACAGCAUGGUAUAGUGGUUUAAGUAAUGGAUUGGAACUCUGUUAGACUAGGGUUCAAAUCCCUGCUCAGUCA